GUCGCGCAGGUCGCCGUCAAGCCCCAGCCGUCUCAGCCGUCGCUCGAACCCAAAAACUCGACUCAUGCGCCCGCGCCUCCAUCACCGCGUGAAGUCAACCCGACCCGCGUCUCUUCUUCGCGACCCAAGCCGCCUAGCCGUUUCACCUGUCUUUUAGCCACCAGCCUACUUUUGAUCCUUUUCACCUAGUUUGGAACAUCUUGGACCAAUUGAUUUUUGGAGCGUGGGAUUUCUCCAGUUAAGGGCUCAAGCGUUGCAACCUCGACCUAGGGACUUCGCUGCUUGGAAAGCGUGAUUUUACGGUUAGAACUCGUUGAGCAAAUCUCCAGGCAGAGGUAGAGGUAAGGGUAAGAGUAAGCUGGCGAGCGACCAGAAGUGACCGUGGCGAGCCAUAGGGAUCUUAUGCUUCCGCUUCAUGUCAUAGUUCAGACCUUAACGUUUGCAUUUUAGUCUAUUCUUUAUUUGUUAUUUUAUUUCUUUAAAAUUAGAUAGGGCUCGAGUUAGGAUUUUAUUUUUAUACUUAUCUCUAAUCACAUGUGUUUAUGCUUUUAAAUGAAAAUUUUGAGGUUUUGUUUUAUUUUAUUUUUCCAAACUUUACAAAUUUAUUUAUCUUUUAAAUUAGUAACGGCUUCAACUUAGUAUAAGGAGUUGGGUUGUUACAUACACGAUCACUUAUCAUAAUCAAUAGGAUUGCUUUCCAUGAUCAACACAAUCGUUUAAAUUUGAAGUCUUUUUCCCUAACGCUAAGAAGAACUACACAAUUGUGUAUCAUAUCCUAAACGAUCGUAGAUCAUUCAUUAGACUGUAAUCGUUCAUAAAACUAUUAUUCACGCAUGCGUGUGGCCAAUUAAUCGACUAGAGUAUUUUUUAUAUUUUAUAU